GAUCCCAACACCAAGGCUCUAUCCACUGCGCCACACGCCUCCUCCAGACAUCUCUUCUAACGACUGUCAGUCAGAGAAGAUGGAGCUCCUCUCUCUGGCUCUGCUACUCUGCUUCACUCUCUGCAGCUGUACUCUCCUCCAGCAGCCUCAGUUUGCUGUGGUGCGUGACGGAGACUCUGCGGCGCUGCAGUGUGAUCAGGACGAUGCAGAUUACACCCGUAUGUUCUGGUACCGACAGGGAGCUGAGGGGCGUCUCCAGCUGGUGGUCUACUCUCUGAAUACAGGCCUCACGGACCUCGAAGACCCCUUUAAGUCCUCCAGGUUCUCCAUGAGCCGGCCCACGGUGCUCAGCUCCUCUCUGAACAUCCAGAGGGUGGAGGCUGCCGACUCAGACCUUUACCUCUGUGCUGCCAGCCUCCCACCCUGA